rnacentral:rRNA from 1 species
AGACGUCUACAUUAGAUACCCCCGUAGUCCCAGCCGUAAACCAUGCUCGCUAGGUGUCAGGCAUGGCGCGACCGUGUCUGGUGCCGCAGGGAAGCCGUGAAGCGAGCCACCUGGGAAGUACGGCCGCAAGGCUGAAACUUAAAGGAAUUGGCGGGGGAGCACAACAACGGGUGGAGCCUGCGGUUUAAUUGGACUCAACGCCGGACAACUCACCGGGAACGACAGCAAUAUGUAGGCCAGGCUGAAGACCUUGCCUGAAUCGCUG